UACGUAGGCAGCAAGCGUUGUUCGGAGUUACUGGGCGUAAAGGGUGUGUAGGCGGUUGUUUAAGUUUGGUGUGAAAUCUCCCGGCUCAACUGGGAGGGUGCGCCGAAUACUGAGAGGCCAGAGUGUGGGAGAGGAAAGUGGAAUUCCUGGUGUAGCGGUGAAAUGCGUAGAUAUCAGGAGGAACACCGGUGGUGUAAACGGCUUUCUGGACCAUAACUGACGCUGAGGCACGAAAGCGUGGGUAGCAAACAGG
rnacentral:rRNA from 1 species